rnacentral:rRNA from 1 species
UACGUAGGGGUCGAGCGUUGUCCGGAGUUACUGGGCGUAAAGCGCGUGUAGGCGGCCCGGUAAGUCCGCUGUGAAAGUCGGGGGCUCAACCCUCGAACGCCGGUGGAUACUGUCGGGCUCGAGUACGGAAGAGGCGAGUGGAAUUCCUGGUGUAGCGGUGAAAUGCGCAGAUAUCAGGAGGAACACCUAUUGCGAAGGCAGCUCGCUGGGACGUAACUGACGCUGAGACGCGAAAGCGUGGGGAGCAAACAGG